AUCAACUCUCCAUUAAAUACUUUUCCUAAAAUUGUUUGCCUUAUUCUACUUUCAUGCUAAUGAAAUAAAAUCUCAGAAGUACCAGUAUCUGCUAAAGUGGCAGAUAUAUAUUGGUGGAACAAAGUCUGACAUUAUGCUGGACAGAAUAUGAAUUCCUGACUGGACUUCGUGUACUUCUGUUGCUCUGCAGGCUGCAGUGUGAGUGACUGACUUAGUGGUAUGAAAGAGGACAGCCACGUUUGAGGGGCUGCCAGCCUGAGAUGCUGGUGCCUGCAUAUUGAAGACUCAGGAACUGUACAGAACAUCAGAUUCUGAUGCCAUUCCUGGGCUGUAGGCUCUUCCUUGGGCCACCCUUCAUUUUUAUUUGUACAGCACCUAGCACUAAAAGGACUCACUUUCCCUUUAGCCCUCAAACCAUAUAAAUACAUGUAAACAGUAAUAACUGGCCACCAAUGCACUUCAAAGUGAACCACAGAGAUCAACAGAGGUCAGAUCCCCUUUAACUCCAUGAAAACAGCAGCAAUACGCUUGAAAAUUAGUAAUGGUGGAAAAUGAUAGAUAUUUAUUCCUGAGAACCAACUGUCUGUUUCCAGAGUAGAACUCAACUCAUACUUUGUAAGAGAAAUACACUACCUCUCUAAACUUAGAUUUAAAAGUGUCAGCCUCUCUACUCAUGAAAGUGUGCAUUCAUUGCUAAGGUACACAGUGGCUAUAUGAAAAUUUUCCUACCAUUAAGUUGAUAUU